UACGUAGGGGGCGAGCGUUGUCCGGAUUUAUUGGGCGUAAAGAGCUCGUAGGCGGCUGGUCAAGUCGGGUGUGAAAUCCCGGGGCUUAACUCCGGGUCUGCAUUCGAUACUGGCUGGCUAGAGUCUGGUAGGGGGACCUGGAAUUCCUGGUGUAGCGGUGGAAUGCGCAGAUAUCAGGAGGAACACCGGUGGCGAAGGCGGGGUCCUGGGCCAGUACUGACGCUGAGGAGCGAAAGCGUGGGGAGCAAACAGG
rnacentral:rRNA from 1 species